UACGUAGGGGGCAAGCGUUGUCCGGAAUUAUUGGGCGUAAAGAGCGCGUAGGCGGUCCGAUAAGUCGGCUGUGAAAGUCAGGGGCUCAACCCUUGAAAGCCGGCCGAUACUGUCGGACUAGAGUCCGGAAGAGGCGAGUGGAAUUCCCGGUGUAGCGGUGAAAUGCGCAGAUAUCGGGAGGAACACCAAUGGCGAAGGCAGCUCGCUGGGCCGGUACUGACGCUGAGGAGCGAAAGCGUGGGGAGCGAACAGG
rnacentral:rRNA from 1 species